rnacentral:rRNA from 1 species
AUUGAACGCUGGCGGCAGGCCUAACACAUGCAAGUCGAACGGUAGCACAGAGAGCUUGCUCUCGGGUGACGAGUGGCGGACGGGUGAGUAAUGUCUGGGAAACUGCCCGAUGGAGGGGGAUAACUACUGGAAACGGUAGCUAAUACCGCAUAAUGUCGCAAGACCAAAGAGGGGGACCUUCGGGCCUCUGCCAUCGGAUGUGCCCAGAUGGGAUUAGCUAGUUGGUGAGGUAAUGGCUCACCAAGGCGACGAUCCCUAGCUGGUCUGAGAGGAUGACCAGCCACACUGGAACUGAGACACGGUCCAGACUCCUACGGGAGGCAGCAGUGGGGAAUAUUGCACAAUGGGCGCAAGCCUGAUGCAGCCAUGCCGCGUGUGUGAAGAAGGCCUUCGGGUUGUAAAGCACUUUCAGCGGGGAGGAAGGCAAUACGGUUAAUAACCGUGUUGAUUGACGUUACCCGCAGAAGAAGCACCGGCUAACUCCGUG